rnacentral:tRNA from 1 species
GCAGAAGUGGUGUAGUGGUUUGAGCAUUAGACUAUGACUCUGGCGACCAGGGUUCAAACCCGGGUUCAGCC